GAUGAACGCUGGCGGCGUGCCUAAUACAUGCAAGUCGAGCGAACGGACGAGAAGCUUGCUUCUCUGAUGUUAGCGGCGGACGGGUGAGUAACAUGUGGAUAACCUACCUAUAAGACUGGGAUAACUUCGGGAAACCGGAGCUAAUACCGGAUGAUAUUUUGAACCGCAUGGUUCAAAAGUGAAAGACGGUCUUGCUGUCACUUAUAGAUGGAUCCGCGCUGCAUUAGCUAGUUGGAAGGUAACGGCUUACCAAGGCAACGAUGCAUAGCCGACCUGAGAGGGUGAUCGGCCACACUGGAACUGAGACACGGUCCAGACUCCUACGGGAGGCAGCAGUAGGGAAUCUUCCGCAAUGGGCGAAAGCCUGACGGAGCAACGCCGCGUGAGUGAUGAAGGUCUUCGGAUCGUAAAACUCUGUUAUUAGGGAAGAACAUAUGUGUAAGUAACUGUGCACAUCUUGACGGUACCUAAUCAGAAAGCCACGGCUAACUACGU
rnacentral:rRNA from 1 species